rnacentral:rRNA from 1 species
UACGUAGGGGGCAAGCGUUGUCCGGAUUUAUUGGGCGUAAAGAGCGUGUAGGCGGCUAGGUAGGUCCGUUGUGAAAACUCGAGGCUCAACCUCGAGACGCCGAUGGAAACCAUCUAGCUAGAGUCCGGAAGAGGAGAGUGGAAUUCCUGGUGUAGCGGUGAAAUGCGCAGAUAUCAGGAGGAACACCGGUGGCGAAGGCGGAUCUCUGGGCCAUUACUGACGCUGAGGAGCGAAAGCGUGGGGAGCGAACAGG